GCUCAAAUUCUCUAUCUGCAAAGCUCUAAGGUGCAUCUGGGGGUGUCGACUCACCUCAUAGAUAUCUUCGUACUUGACAUUCUCCACAAGCUUCCAGAGCAUGAUGGCAGCCUGGUCUCUAGGAGGGUGCGGAGAGCUUCUCAUAGCCGGAACAGACGCCCAGAAGAGGAUCUCUGCGCCUGGGACAGAAAAGAAAUGCCAGGAGGGACCGAGGAGGGAUGGGGCAAUUUGGGGUGGAAGUUAUUAAGCCUGGUGAGAGUGAAUCUGCAAAGGGUGAUUGUCUUUAAAUCCAGGACUGCUGUGUGCAGCUCUGCGCGAACAGGGAUGGACGCUGUUUGAGUACAGGGCUCCGGACAACCUUGUUGGACGUCGAUUCAAUCAAAACCAAGGAGAAGCUUCAUGAACUGCAGAAUAAACAAUUCUGCAGAUUUUUAAUUUAAUUUUUAAAGAUAAGUCAAAGGAAAAGAACACAAAGAAGGUGCUUCAGAAGGAACUUCAGAAAUAAACCCCUUAUUUCCGGUUGAA